rnacentral:rRNA from 1 species
AGUGAACGCUGGCGGUAUGCCUAAUACAUGCAAGUCGAACGGCAGGACAGUAAGAGCGUGCCCUUACGGUUGGCGAGGGGCGGAUGAGUGAGGAAUACAUCAGAAUCUUCUUUUUCGGGGAUGAUAACGGAGGAAAAGUGACGCUAAUAGCUCAUACGAUGUACGGGUGAAAUCAGGAGAGCUUCGCACUUUUCGCGAUUGAUUGAGCCGGCUCCGGGUUAGCUAGUUGGUAGGGUAAAGGCCCACCAAGGCAACGAUCCGUAGCCGGCCGGAGAGGAUGGUCGGCCACACGGGAACUGAGACACGGUCCAGACUCCUACGGGAGGCAGCAGUAGGGAAUCUUCCGCAAAGGGCGAAAGCCUGACGGAGCAACGCCGCGUGAGUGAUGAAGGUCUUCGGAUCGUAAAACUCUGUUAUUAGGGAAGAACAAAUGUGUAAGUAACUAUGCACGUCUUGACGGUACCUAAUCAGAAAGCCACGGCUAACUACGUG